AGCACGUGAAACCGCUCAGGGGCAAACGGGCGGAACCGAAGCGAACGGUCUGCGAGGGUCAGUCCUCGCCGGGUCCUGCUUUUCGGGGAUGCACGUUCGUACGCGCUUUCGGGUGGCGGCGGGCGGCACUCUUCGGGAACGCCAGCGGCUCGGUACGGGCGCACCCCUCGCAGGCCUUUGCCGCGACCGUCUUCGGACCGGCCCGUGGAGGACGUGGGACUCUUUUGGCUUCGGCCCGAAGACGACACGUUUCUUCGUAAGCGAGCCCGGUCCGAGGCCGAGGAAUGACCGCGGGUUUUGGGGCGGUCGUGCGUUCAGCCUUCACGGGUAGUAGCGUGCGAUCCCCUUCCCGCUCAGGGUCAGCGGCGAACGCGGACGGCUGUCCUCCCGACCCGUCUUGAAACACGGACCAAGGAGUCCGACGCGCACGCGAGUCGCGGGGUACCACGAAACCCGCUGGCGAAGUGAAAGCGAGGGUCGCGUUGGUCGGCCUCGGCGGGAUCCCGUGGGGCGUGGGUUUAACCGCCUUCGUCCUCGGGCGCACCGCCGGCCCGUCCCUCGCCGCGUUGACGGUGGGGCGGAGAGAGAGCGUGCGUGUCGGGACCCGAAAGAUGGUGAACUACGCCUGGGCAGGGCGAAGCCGGGGGAAACCCCGGUGGAGGCCCGCAGCGACUCUGACGUGCAAAUCGAUCGUCCGACCCGGGCGUAGGGGCGAAAGACCAAUCGAACCAUCUAGUAGCUGGUUCCCUCCGAAGUUUCCCUCAGGAUAGCCGGCGCCCGUCUCAAAGAGUUUCAUCCGGUAAAGCGAAUGAUUAGAGGCCUCGGGGCCGAAACGGCUUCGACCUAUUCUCAAACUUUCAACGGGUGAGAAACUCGGCCCGCCUGAACCACGGGGCCGGGUCAUACGAAUCAGGGUGUCGAGUGGGCCACUUUUGGUAAGCAGAACUGGCGCUGCGGGAUGAACCGAACGCCCGGUCGCGGUGCCCAACGCUGACGCUCAUCGGACCCCACAAAAGGCGUCGGUCGGUAAAGACAGCAGGGCGGUGGCCAUGGAAGUCGGAACCCGCCAAGGAGUGU
rnacentral:rRNA from 2 species